GAUGAAGAACGAAGCGAAAUGCGAUACUUGGUGUGAAUUGCAGAAUCCCGUGAACCAUCGAGUCUUUGAACGCAAGUUGCGCCCGAAGCCUCGGCUAAGGGCACGUCUGCCUGGGCGUCACGCAUCGCGUCUCCCCCAAACCGCCAAGGCGGAGGGGAAGGAAGAUGGCUUCCCGUGCCUCACCCGGCGCGGUUGGCCUAAAUUUGGAGCCCGCGGCACUUAGCUCUCGUGGCGAUAGGUGGUGAACAAGGCCUUGGCCGUGCAAACAACCCGCUCCGAAUCUCUAUGUCACGUGCGCUCGUCGGACCCUUUGAAGUUGCCUUCGGUGACUUAAAACCUUUGCGACCCCAGGUCAGGCGGGGCUACCCGCUGAAUUUAAGUAUAUCAAUAAGCGGAGGA
rnacentral:misc_RNA from 1 species